rnacentral:rRNA from 1 species
GGGCCCGCACAAGCGGUGGAGCAUGUGGUUUAAUUCGAUGAUACGCGAGGAACCUUACCAGGGCUUAAAUGUAAGUUGCAUGGAUCAGAGAUGAUCCUUUCUUCGGACUACUUACAAGGUGCUGCAUGGUUGUCGUCAGCUCGUGCCGUGAGGUGUCAGGUUAAGUCCUAUAACGAGCGCAACCCCUAUCGUUAGUUGCCAUCAUUAAGUUGGGCACUCUGAAAGAACUGCCAGUGAUAAGCUGGAGGAAGGUGGGGAUGACGUCAAGUCCUCAUGGCCCUUACGUGUUGGGCUACACACGUGCUACAAUGGUAUCUACAACAGGAAGCAAAACAGCGAUGUUAAG